GAUCCUGGCUCAGAUUGAACGCUGGCGGCAGGCUUAACACAUGCAAGUCGAACGGUAACAUAAAGAAGCUUGCUUCUUUGAUGACGAGUGGCGGACGGGUGAGUAAUGCUUGGGAAUCUAGCUUAUGGAGGGGGAUAACUACGGGAAACUGUAGCUAAUACCGCGUAAUAUCGAAAGAUUAAAGUGUGGGACCUUCGGGCCACAUGCCAUAAGAUGAGCCCAAGUGGGGAUUAGGUAGUUGGUGAGGUAAAGG
rnacentral:rRNA from 1 species